rnacentral:piRNA from 1 species
UUCGACUUGUGCUAUAGUGAAAUUGGCGC